rnacentral:rRNA from 1 species
UACGGAGGGCGCAAGCGUUGUUCGGAAUCACUGGGCGUAAAGCGCGUGUAGGCGGCUUGGCAAGUCGGGUGUGAAAGCCCGGGGCUCAACCCCGGAACUGCACUCGAAACUGCUUCGCUCGAGUCCCGGAGAGGGUGGUGGAAUUCCCGGUGUAGAGGUGAAAUUCGUAGAUAUCGGGAGGAACACCAGUGGCGAAGGCGGCCACCUGGACGGUGACUGACGCUGAGACGCGAAAGCGUGGGGAGCAAACAGG